GAAAGGCUUAUAUUUUCAAGUGAAUGGCUGAUCUACUGACAGUGGUUACAAGGACAAACCAGCCCAAUGUUCAGCUAACUGAUGGGUCAGAGCAGGCCAGUACUUCUUUGGAGGUGGCUGAGUCAAAGCCCCUUGUUAUUCAAGCAGAUGUCAUGCAGAGGGAGCUAGAGAGCUGCCUAAGGAGAGAGUACACUCCUGAAAAUUUACCUUUGCUUCUGUUGCAGUAUUAUACAGAGAGAAUUACCCAGCUGGCCCAGAGUAAAUAUUUGCAUAUGCUUAGGUGGAAGAGAUUUUGCCAUCACAGUAAGAUCAUGGAACAACUCUAUCCUCUUUAUAAGAAACAAGUUGCCUACAUUAUUCAGGAAUACAAUGAUGCCCUUCAUAGAGCUGAUAGAUUGUCUGUUGCACGAGAAAACUUCCUUAUGGGAAAAAAGAAUCCUCCUAACUUAGUGACACAGGAAGACCUGACUAUUUACACAAAUUGGUUAGUGUGUCACCUACACUCACUCAAGACUAUUCACCAAUACCUGCAGGCCCUCCAGUAUUUGCCUCUCUCCAAAGUGCUAAGUAUAGCUGUGGAUGAAAUCCCAGAGGUUGGUCAGGAAAAUGAAAAGGUCCCUGUUGAUGACAAUGACCCUGACAUCCAGGGUUCUGAAUCUCCAGGCUCUAUGAAUACCAAUAUUUCAGGGCCAACAAGAACAGAAGCUGCUUUCAUCCUGCCCCAACACACAACAGAAACAGAAAAACUGAAACCUCAGCUGAAGCUCCUGCUCUCCCAUUUUAAUAUCCCAUAUGACGUGGAGGAACUAAGGGAUGCUGCCAAGGAAAUAGAACUUUUUUCCUUGGUGUCCCAAAAAUUUCAAAGCAUCUUCAUGAAGCAGCAGAGAAUGAAGACAUUUCCAGACUAUGAUGCUGGGAUAGCCAAAGCUGAGCAUUUGAGUUUGGCAGAACCUGGUAUGGCCUUGAAAAAGAGAGCCAGCUGGAUUUCCUUUGUAAAGAUUAAGCCAAAAUGUGAUCCUUGGCAAAAGAAGCUUUUGACCAAACUAAAAGAACGGAAAAGAAUAGAUGCAUUAAUGCAACUCCAAGCAAAGUUUUUGAAGAUUUCCAACCCUGAGCGAGUAAUGCAAGUGCUGCAAGAUCAUGCUGCAAAGACAGUCUUCAUGGCUUCAUCUCAUCCAACAUUCGUGGCUUCCUGGGAUUUGCAUCAGGGCAACUAUGACCAAAUCUGGGAGAAUAUUUAUAGCAAUGUCAACCUUUACCAGAAUGAAAACAUGAAGGAGGAUGGCCUUUCAGUGGAGCAAAAUGAAAAUGACUCAGCACAAAUAAGUCGUAGCCAUUGUGCUGAUGAGCCUGUCAAGCAGAAGAAAGAGCCGGGGUACAGCUAUGCACUGGCCCUACAACUCCUGGGUUUGGAUGAUGGGUCUGGGCCCAGUGAUGGGGAUUCUGUCCUGAUGAGAGGGACCUACUUGUCCUUUCUGUAUCUGCGCCACCUGAGGAUCAGGGAACUGCAGCGCAUCUGCUUAGGAAUUCUGAACUAUUUCAGAUCCAUUGAACGAACGCUGACGAUCAACACUUCAGGCCUUACCUUGGUUGCAGGGAGCCUGGUCCCCACCUCGGAAGAUAGCUCCUGGGUAAAUACAGUAAAAGGAGGCAUGGGCACCCCACAAGGCCUAGGCACUCACCACUAUGUCCAUGGAACAUCUGCUGAGCACAAGGUGAGGAUUCUGCUACAGUUUUCCUUCCUUGAUCAUCCUGUCUCCCAAGCCACCUUCUUAGCACCUGGAAUCAGUUAACAUGAUGAAGUAAUAGGUGAGAGUUUCUAGAGAAAUAGCUUUUUUGAAAAAUUGUGGUGAAAAGGGAAAUGGUUUUUUAACCACAAUAAAAUGCAGUGUCCACUUAAGAGCA
rnacentral:lncRNA from 1 species